UACGAAGGGUGCAAGCGUUAAUCGGAAUUACUGGGCGUAAAGCGCACGUAGGCGGCUUUGUAAGUUAGAGGUGAAAGCCCAGGGCUUAACCCUGGAAUUGCCUUUAAGACUGCAUCGCUAGAAUCGUGGAGAGGUGAGUGGAAUUCCGAGUGUAGAGGUGAAAUUCGUAGAUAUUCGGAAGAACACCAGUGGCGAAGGCGACUCACUGGACACGUAUUGACGCUGAGGUGCGAAAGCGUGGGGAGCAAACGGG
rnacentral:rRNA from 1 species